ACUUUAUUUACUAAUAAGUAUUAUUUACGGUCAUGAAAUGUAACAAAGUUUUGUUUCUCUUUCAGCUGGGAAGAUGAAAGUGAAAAAAAGAAGCUAGGAGAGAAAUGAAACCUUAAUCAUUGUUUUAGUGAUCGUCUCGCUCAAAGUCUACAAAGCAUCACUUGAUUGACCAUCUUCCAAAUAAUGACUUGCAAUAAUUAGAAGUAGUACUCGGUAAUUGAUGAACGGGCAGAUCCAAGCUGAAAACAUUUGUGGGCCCGUGCUUGAUUUUUUGUGAUCCUUUCGCCAUAAAUGUCCAUCGAUCUGGUCGGCAUUUGACAGAAGUCUCGCAGUAAAUCAGUUGUGGAAUGUAGGAAUGCCAAGAGACUGUAGCUAAAGCUCCUUGCCCUACUUGUGUAUUAUAAUCAAACUCUAUUUCUGUUUUUCAUUGUAUAGACUGGCUUAAGUAGAUUUAUCACUGAUUUCAUAAGCCUUAUUAUUUAUUGUACGGUUUCAUCAAUGUCUUGUAAUUCUAUUAGUGUAUAUAAUAUAGAGAUAUAUAUAGG
rnacentral:misc_RNA from 1 species